UUAAUAUGGGCAGGAACUAUCCAAUCAGCCAUGGACUGGAGAAACAGAAAUAUUUGAAUGUCUUUCCAUCUGUCUCUAGGACGAGGGAUGUACACCUUCCUUCUGCCCUUGAGAAUUGCAUCUCCAGGCUCUCUUUGAAUUCUAGGAGCUACACCAGAGGCCCUUGCCAGAGCCCAGGUUGCCAGGCCUUUUGCUUUAGGCUGAGAAUCACACCAGCGGCUUUCCUGAUGCUGAAGCAUUCAGAGUUGGACUGAGCCAAGCUCCAAUGUUCCCGGGUCUCCAGCUUGCAGAUGACCUGUCAUAUGACUUCUCAGUCUAUACAACUACGUAAAGCCCAGGGCCCAGGGCGGGGACACUGGGGCUUCUGAACACGGGCCCUGAACGGAGGAUGGAGGAGGAUGCUCACAUCAACUCUCUUCCUGUGAUGCAAGAAGGAAAGGUGUCCUCCCUUCCAGUGGCUCCACUUAGGAAUGAACCAUAGUAGGAGAGUCUCUUUAGCCCCUGAGUACAGAUACUAUACACCUCCAGGAGGCCAUGCGAUACCUGAAUAGGAGACAGUCUCUGGUGUGAGUUUCCUUGAAGACAAACUCUAUUUCUGCUUCUUACUAGCUCCAAACAAGUCAGACAAUAGCCAAAGAAGCUACCACCGGCCCUGUGAGGAUUAACAGGCUGCUACAUGCUUCAGCUGUGGAUGUUAUUUACAGUGUUUGCUCAAAUCAUCUCAGGAACUAUCCGGAAUGCAUCUGGCUAUAAGAGCGUGUUGGAGAUUGGUCAUCUCUCCAACCCUACGUGGGCUCAGACCAGAUCCAAAAUGGUAGGGACGGGCCUGAGCCUGGGCCUGGGACUGGGAGUAGGGUGGAGGCUGCUAUAGGCCAGUGACUAGCUAAGAAGAGGUUGGGGGGUGGGGUGGGUGAGCUGACUCCUUGUCUCCAAGUAGGAGGUUGCCUGGAUCUUGGGCAGGCCUGCCCUUCUGGUUUGGGCUACUCAGCUUUUUACUGCUGUCCUCGGGGACAAGCUAUUUUAGGUAGCAGUCAAAAUAAAACUGAGAUUAACCCAGAA